GGGGUUAUAGCUCAGUGAGAACAUGUGCUUAGCAUGCGCGAGGUCCUGGGUUCAAUCCCCAGUACUUCCA
rnacentral:tRNA from 1 species